rnacentral:lncRNA from 1 species
ACCGAAUCAGUUGCGACACCGAUGGGAAUGCAUGCUACGAAAGAUAGGGUCGAGUCUGAAACAUCAACCGUCUACUCAAUAUCCUUGUACGAGUCCACAAUCACUACACGAGAUGAACCUUGGUUUGGUGAAUUGAAGUUUGCCUUAGGUGUAAAAAAAAGGACUCCCAGUUACUGCGCGCGAUCGUAUACUGAGGUGCUCCCCGCCGGUUGUUGGAACGACGCGAGCCGGGCCUCCAUUCAGAAAGAUGAAGGGUCCAAAAAAAAGUAAAAAUAGGGGGUUAACAAUUCCCCAUCUCAUUGGGGGCGGAAAACGAAUCGACAUCUCGAUGUGAUACAGCCUUUUCUAUUUUUGUUGGGAAAGAACGGCGAAGUCCAUCCGAACCGUCCAAUGAAGAAUAAGAGGAGAGCAAAGCGCCAAUGGCGCGCGAAGCGCAUGCGAAAGGGGCACGGAGAAAAAAAAUAAGUGUGGAGGAUAAGCAGCCGAGCUCAUUCCCUUCGCUUCCUGGGCCCAAAGCAGUGCAGUCUUUCCUGGCCAAAUCAAGGAUUUGGGGCGCUACUUAAAGAAAUCCAUUUUUUUUAGUCAUAUAUAUUAAUAGAAAGAUAGAUCCAUCCAUCUAUCCUAUCCGAUUUCGAUUUUUAUAUCUAAAAAAGAAUCGAUUUCAUUCAACGUUUGAUUCAAAGAACUGCGCUUAGCCCCCCCCCGCUCAUGAAACGGCUCGGCUGCAAUGGAUGGCAGAGGGUCCGUAGUACCCAAAGAACUGGAGUGGUCCAGUAGCCGGGAAGGGGCCUAGAAGUGCCAACUACUACACCACACUACACUCGGCUCUACACAUUUACAGAGCUAACCCCUGUCCAGUCCCUGGCAGAGUGAAGGGGGCUUCCAUCCUUAUUCCCUAUUCCCUCGCCCAGGCUAACGGGGCCUUACUUAUUCAGGGGGGGGAGAGUGGAGCCCCGAGAAGCACUGUUGAGAGGAAGAUCCUUGGCCCCUCCUCAUUCUCUACAGGGUUCCAAACCUUUCUUCAACAUAGGUGACAACGAGCGGGGCAGAGAUGGAAGAGAUCGAACACGAUAAUAAGAAGCAAGCUCGCCUUCCUUUUAUAUCAUUUUGAUAGAGAGGGAUGGAGAAAGUGGACAAAACAGACUCGCAUUUCCCAGUCGAAAAGAUGGGUUCCUUUUUCGUCUUGCAUUUCUCAUCGCGGAAAAAUAAUAAUAUUGAAAACGUUCCCAACCCACCAACCCUUUCCUUCGUAGAGCCGUGUAUUGUAAUCCGAACCUGCCCGGAGCGAGUCUCCCAUAGAGGCAAGUUAAGUUGGUGAGCCGUAUGAUGGGCAACUAUCUCCUGCGGUUCGGAGAGGACUCAGCUGUUAGUUAGUACCCCCUUUCGGGGUGGACCUUUCACUCUAU